rnacentral:misc_RNA from 1 species
AACAUCGCGCACCUGCGGGAACCUGCGGAGGGAUCAUUACCGAGUCACGUGCUCAAACAACCCUUCUGUGGACUUGAAUUAAACCGUUGCCUCGGCGGGCGGUCCCCUGCCAAAAACCACACGUGGUUGUGGACAGAGGGACCAGACAGUCCGGUACGCUUAAGGCGUCCGGCGCCAGCCGCUGGCCCUAACCAAUUAAACUCUAGUAACCUUACCUUCUGAGUUUUAAUACAAAAAAAA